AACGAACGCUGGCGGCAGGCCUAACACAUGCAAGUCGAGCGAAGCCUUCGGGCUUAGCGGCGGACGGGUGAGUAACGCGUGGGAACGUGCCCUUUGCUACGGAAUAGCCCCGGGAAACUGGGAGUAAUACCGUAUGUGCCCUUCGGGGGAAAGAUUUAUCGGCAAAGGAUCGGCCCGCGUUGGAUUAGGUAGUUGGUGGGGUAAUGGCCUACCAAGCCGACGAUCCAUAGCUGGUUUGAGAGGAUGAUCAGCCACACUGGGACUGAGACACGGCCCAGACUCCUACGGGAGGCAGCAAUGGGGAAUCUUAGACAAUGGGCGGAAGCCUGAUCUAGCCAUGCCGCGUGAUCGAUGAAGGCCUUAGGGUUGUAAAGAUCUUUCAGGUGGGAAGAUAAUGACUGUACCACCAGAAGAAGCCCCGGCUAACUCCGUGCCAGCCGCCGCGGUAAUAC
rnacentral:rRNA from 1 species